UCUCUCUCUCUCUCUCUCUCUCUCUCUCUCUAUCUCUCUCUCUCCCAUCUGUUUGUCUAUCUGCCUGGUUCCUGUCCACUGACUACUGGAUGCUUAGCCCUAAGCCUGUACCCAUAUUGAUAAAUUCAUACUUGUAAUCUUUUCAGUAUUUUGGAAUUGGAGCAUCCGCCCCCACCCUCCACUCACGAAGUUUAUGUGCCUUUACUCACAAAUACACAAAACUACAGUGGGCACAUAUCAGUCGUGAUUCAGAAGAGGUUGGAGCCAGGUCCCUGAUACAGGACCUAGAGGAGGUUUAGAGGGCUUGUAAGGGAAGCUGCUCAACAGCAUCUCCUGUCCUUAGCCUGUCUGUCUGUCACCAUUAAUGUGACAGCAUUAGUCUGACUAUCUGAGGAACCUGAACACCAUGUCUAUCUCACCCCUUCCUUAGCAGAGAAGGGCAUGCUUCCCUGGGUGGGAAGAAUGACCCUGUACUGUAUCCAUCUCCUGACCUUCCAGGCACUCUAAAGAGACUGAACAGGCAGCAAUCUCCUCAUGACCCCCUUGGAAAGUUGGUGUUGAGUCAUUCAACAAAGCACACCCUAACGCUUCACACAGAAGACUCAUCUGGCAUCCCCCAUCAGCCUUUUUUAUAGUUCCUUCAUGAACACACUUACCCCAUCUAUAAAACUGUUUUUGGAAAUUAUUUGGAGUGCUCCUUAUCUAGAAAUAUCCUUUUUUUUUGUCGAAAUCUUUUGUUGAAAUGUUUCAUCCACUGAACCCAAUGUCACUCCCAACUUCCCCACUUUGCCCUAUAAUACUUCAUGUUCUUUGAUUACAUUUUAUCUCACAUAUAUUUUUCUUAGCCUGGCUCACAAUCGAUCUUUUUUCUAGUAAAUGUGGAAUUUUACACCUUA